rnacentral:rRNA from 1 species
AAUCGAACCCGGAGAUAGCUGGUUCUCCUCGAAAUAGCUUUAGGGCUAGCCUCGCAUUAGUUUACCGGAGGUAGAGCACUGAAUGGUCUAGGGGGCCUCACCGCCUACCGAAACCUAUCAAACUGCGAAUGCCGGAUAAAUGAUGUGCGGGAGUCAGGCCGCGAGAGAUAAGUUCCGCGGUCAAAAGGGGAACACCCCAGAUCGUCUGCUAAGGUCCCCAAGUACGCGUUAAGUGGGAAAGGAUGUUGGAUUGCACAGACAACCAGGAUGUUGGCUUAGAAGCAGCCACACAUUCAAAGAGUGCGUAAUAGCUCACUGGUCGAGUGAUCCAGCGCCGAAAAUGUAACGGGGCUAAAACGCGACACCGAAGCAGCGGGAUGCGUAAGCAUCGGUAGAGGAGCAUUGUGUGAGGGUUGAAGCCAGAGCGGGAGCACUGGUGGACUUCACAGAAGAGAGAAUGCCGGUAUGAGUAGCGAGACCCAUGCGAGAAACAUGGGCGUCGAAGGCCCAAGGUUUCCUGGGGAAGGUUCAUCCACCCAGGGUAAGUCGGGACCUAAGCCGAGGACUGAGGUCGUAGGCGAUGGACAGCAGGUAGAGAUUCCUGCACCACUUACACUUGUUUGACGAAGCAGUGACACAGAAGGAUAGGACGAGCGCGGUGAUGGUCAACCGCGUAGGCGGCACGAGGCUGAGAAGCAGUAAAGUACACUUCUCAUGAAGGCUGAGUGCUGACAGGACCGAAAAAGAGUAGGGAAGCGUCUGAGUUCACGCUGGCGAGAAAAGCUGCUAAGGAGAGUGUGAGUGCCCGUACCGGAAACCGACGCAGGUGGGCGAGGAGAGAAUCCUGAGACGGACGGGAGAACUCUUGUUAAGGAACUCGGCAAAAUGACCCCGUAACUUCGGGAGAAGGGGUGCCUCGAAAGAGGCCGCAGAGAAUAGUCACAAGCGACUGUUUAGCAAAAACACAGGUAUCUGCGAAAGCGAGAGCUGACGUAUAGGUGCUGACGCCUGCCCGGUGCUGGAAGGUUAAGGGGAAGUGUUAGGGGAAACCCGAAGCAGAGAACCGAAGCCCCAGUAAACGGCGGCCGUAACUAUAACGGUCCUAAGGUAGCGAAAUUCCUUGUCGGGUAAGUUCCGACCCGCACGAAUGGCGUAACGACUUGUGAGCUGUCUCAACAGGAGGCCCGGUGAAAUUGAAGUAUGUGUGAAGAUGCACAUUACCCGCGACUGGACGGAAAGACCCCGUAGAGCUUUACUGUAACCUGACAUUGGAUCUUGAUAACGGAUGCACAGGAUAGGUGGGACGCUGGGAGGUAUGGACUUUGGUCUGUACGGAGCGGACGUUGGGAUACCACUCUUCUGUUAUUGAGAUUCUAACCUCAAGCCGUAAGCCGGAUGAGAGACAGUGUCAGGCGGACAGUUUGACUGGGGCGGUCGCCUCCGAAAGAGUAACGGAGGCGCCCAAAGGUACCCUCAGAAUGGAUGGAAACCAUUCGAAGAGAGCAAAGUCAGAAGGGUGCUUGACUGCGAGACCAACAAGUCGAGCAGGUACGAAAGUAGGGCUUAGUGAUCCGGCGGUAAGAGAGUGGAAUUGCCGUCGCUCAACGGAUAAAAGCUACCUCGGGGAUAACAGGCUGAUCUCCCCCAAGAGUUCACAUCGACGGGGAGGUUUGGCACCUCGAUGUCGGCUCGUCGCAUCCUGGGGCUGAAGCAGGUCCCAAGGGUUUGGCUGUUCGCCAAUUAAAGCGGCACGCGAGCUGGGUUCAGAACGUCGUGAGACAGUUCGGUCCCUAUCCAUCGUGGGCGAAGGACACAUGAGAGGAGCUGCUCCUAGUACGAGAGGACCGGAGUGGACGCAUCACUGGUGCAACUGUUGUCGUGCCAACGGCACAGCAGGGAAGCGAAAUGCGGAUGGGAUAAACGCUGAAGGCAUCUAAGCGUGAAGCCCACCUCAAGAAUAAGUGUCCCAUUCGAAAGAAGUAAGACCCCUGGAAGACUACCAGGUGAUAGGUCAUCGGUGAAAGAGCGGUAACGUUUGGAGCUUGAUGAUACUAAUCGGUCGAGGACUUGAUCUA